ensembl:lncRNA
AAACAGAUGAAAACCAGUCUGAACCAGUUGGAACUAGUGUAAACAAUGAACUGUAGCAUCCCAUCCCCAAUGAUGGCCUAAUCAUUACCUCAUCUUUCUUCCUUAGUCCAGAGGAAGGUGGAGGGUGGAAGUGGUGGAGUGGUGUGUGUGCGUGCGUGUGUGUGUAUGAGUGUGUGCAUGCAUGUGUGUACAUAUGCGUGCAUGUUGGUGCGUGUAUGUGCAAUUAUCUAAAGUCCUGAACCGCCUAAAAGCUUUGACCCCAAGUUCAGCCAUGGCGAGGCCGGGCAUGAGAUAUAUGAGAUAUAAUUGUCACGUCUGAAGUCCCAUAGUCUCCCACACACCCCCCUUCAUCCUACUCCAAUAUAAACCCACCCCAACCGCAUGCCUACAAAUACCCUUAACACCAGCAGUCUGCAGAGAAGUCAGAAGCCAACAACCCAGAGGAACUAAAUAAUUUGCACCAACUAUCUUCACAGAACAGAUAAGUCUUAAGAUGCUUUACUCAAGGUGUGUGUUAGCUGUCCUGGGACUUUACCUGAUGUUGGGAGACUUGUCUGCCUUCCUGCUGCCUGAUAUGCUGAGACAGAAACGGGACGUCAAUUGGCUGGACCAAGAGUUCUUCCCACACCUGUCUGAGGUCUCUGACCUCGCCAUCCUUUCGCCACCCGGAGACGCCGGGGAGAUGACCCGGGAUUGGGAAGAACGGCGUUUUCAGUCUGCCACCUUCCUCGCCCCUCUGGAACGCAUAUCCACCUCCGGGGAACGCAACCCCACCCCUGUGGAACGCAUCUCUGUCCAUCAUCACAACCACCACCGUCGCAAACCCAAGGACAAGAGGAGGAAGGCAACAGUUCCUCUGGAUUCUAUUGGAAGCGGCCUUAUGUCCAACCAGCGUAGCAGAAAGGUGAGAGCACAGAACAAGGAGGGAUACCAUCUGUUUAUUAGGAUGUUUGUCCAGAAUGUGAACCAGCUAAUGUGUAUCUGUUUGUCUUGCAGGAUGAACCAGAAAGCUGAAUGA